rnacentral:rRNA from 1 species
UACGGAGGGUGCGAGCGUUGUCCGGAUUUAUUGGGUUUAAAGGGUGCGUAGGUGGCUAGUUAAGUCAGUGGUGAAAUACAGCCGCUCAACGGUUGAGGUGCCAUUGAUACUGAUUGGCUUGAAAUAAUUGGAGGCUGCCGGAAUGGAUGGUGUAGCGGUGAAAUGCAUAGAUAUCAUCCAGAACACCGAUUGCGAAGGCAGGUGGCUACGAUUUAUUUGACACUGAGGCACGAAAGCAUGGGGAGCAAACAGG